rnacentral:rRNA from 1 species
UACGAAGGGGGCAAGCGUUGUUCGGAAUUACUGGGCGUAAAGGGCUCGUAGGCGGCCAACUAAGUCAGACGUGAAAUCCCUCGGCUUAACCGGGGAACUGCAUCUGAUACUGGAUGGCUGGAGAUUGGGAGAGGGAUGCGGAAUUCCAGGUGUAGCGGUGAAAUGCGUAGAUAUCUGGAGGAACACCGGUGGCGAAGGCGGCAUCCUGGACCAACACUGACGCUGAUGAGCGAAAGCGUGGGGAGCAAACAGG